CACCUAUCCCAUGAUCAUAUAAUAUCAGAAUGAGUGGGAUCUACGUGUCUAACCGUUACAGAUGGUUAUCAACUACUAGUCUAUAAAAGGAGGUAAAUGAACAGUAUUUGGUAAGGAUAAUUCUGGGCUGAUACUCUGUCACUCUAAAUUCUUAUCUGUUGUUCACUACUCCCCACUGACUUAAGCAUCGGAAGGUCCC
rnacentral:lncRNA from 1 species